rnacentral:rRNA from 1 species
UACGUAGGGGGCAAGCGUUGUCCGGAUUUAUUGGGCGUAAAGAGCUCGUAGGCGGUUUGGUAAGUCAGGUGUGAAAUCUCCACGCUCAACGUGGAGGGGCCACCUGAUACUGCCAUGACUGGAGUCCGGUAGAGGAGUGUGGAAUUCCCGGUGUAGCGGUGAAAUGCGCAGAUAUCAGGAGGAACACCGGUGGCGAAGGCGGUUCUCUGGGCAUGUCCUGACGCUGAGGAGCGAAAGUGUGGGGAGCGAACAGG